rnacentral:rRNA from 1 species
ACCAGACGAUGCGGUUACCGCGGCUGCUGGCACGGAGUUAGCCGGUGCUUCUUCUGUGAGUGAUGUCCUUCCUGCCGGCUAUUAACCCGCAGGCCUUCUUCCUCACUGAAAGUGCUUUACAACCCGAAGGCCUUCUUCACACACGCGGCAUGGCUGGAUCAGGGUUGCCCCCAUUGUCCAAUAUUCCCCACUGCUGCCUCCCGUAGGAGUCUGGGCCGUGUCUCAGUCCCAGUGUGGCUGAUCAUCCUCUCAGACCAGCUACGGAUCGUCGCCUUGGUGAGCCGUUACCUCACCAACCAGCUAAUCCGACAUAGGCUCAUCCGAUAGCGCGAGGCCCGAAGGUCCCCCGCUUUCCCCCGUAGGGCGUAUGCGGUAUUAGCCUGGGUUUCCCCAGGUUAUCCCCCACUACCGGGCAGAUUCCUAUGCAUUACUCACCCGUCCGCCGCUCGCCACCAGGGAGCAAGCUCCCCGUGCUGCCGCUCGACUUGCAUGUGUUAGGCCUGCCGCCAGCGUUCAAU